ensembl:misc_RNA Metazoa_SRP Metazoan signal recognition particle RNA
ACCGGGCAUGGUGGUGCAUGCCUGUAAUCCCAGCUACUCAGGAGGCUGAGGCAGGAGAAUCACUUGAACCCAGGAGGUGGAGGUUGCAGUGAGCCGAGAUUGCGCCACUGCACUCCAGCCUGGGUGAUAGAGUGAGACUCUGUCUUAA